GGUUAAGCGACUAAGCGUACACGGUGGAUGCCCUGGCAGUCAGAGGCGAUGAAGGACGUGCUAAUCUGCGAUAAGCGUCGGUAAGGUGAUAUGAACCGUUAUAACCGGCGAUUUCCGAAUGGGGAAACCCAGUGUGAUUCGUCACACUAUCAUUAACUGAAUCCAUAGGUUAAUGAGGCGAA
rnacentral:rRNA from 1 species